rnacentral:rRNA from 1 species
UGCUUGUUGGGGUUGUAGGACACUCUAUACGGAGUUACAAAGGACGACAUUAGACGAAUCAUCUGGAAAGAUGAAUCAAAGAAGGUAAUAAUCCUGUAGUCGAAAAUGUUGUCUCUCUUGAGUGGAUCCUGAGUACGACGGAGCACGUGAAAUUCCGUCGGAAUCUGGGAGGACCAUCUCCUAAGGCUAAAUACUCUCUAGUGACCGAUAGUGAACCAGUACCGUGAGGGAAAGGUGAAAAGCACCCCGGAAGGGGAGUGAAAUAGAACCUGAAACCGUGUGCUUACAAGUAGUCAGAGCCCGUUAAUGGGUGAUGGCGUGCCUUUUGUAGAAUGAACCGGCGAGUUACGAUUUGAUGCAAGGUUAAGCAGUAAAUGUGGAGCCGUAGCGAAAGCGAGUCUGAAUAGGGCGUUUAGUAUUUGGUCGUAGACCCGAAACCAGGUGAUCUACCCUUGGUCAGGUUGAAGUUCAGGUAACACUGAAUGGAGGACCGAACCGACUUACGUUGAAAAGUGAGCGGAUGAACUGAGGGUAGCGGAGAAAUUCCAAUCGAACCUGGAGAUAGCUGGUUCUCUCCGAAAUAGCUUUAGGGCUAGCCUCAAGUGAUGAUUAUUGGAGGUAGAGCACUGUUUGGACGAGGGGCCCCUCUCGGGUUACCGAAUUCAGACAAACUCCGAAUGCCAAUUAAUUUAACUUGGGAGUCAGAACAUGGGUGAUAAGGUCCGUGUUCGAAAGGGAAACAGCCCAGACCACCAGCUAAGGUCCCAAAAUAUAUGUUAAGUGGAAAAGGAUGUGGCGUUGCCCAGACAACUAGGAUGUUGGCUUAGAAGCAGCCAUCAUUUAAAGAGUGCGUAAUAGCUCACUAGUCGAGUGACACUGCGCCGAAAAUGUACCGGGGCUAAACAUAUUACCGAAGCUGUGGAUUGUCCUUUGGACAAUGGUAGGAGAGCGUUCUAAGG